GCUACAGGCUUAACACAUGCAAGUCGAGGGGCAGCAUGAGAUUAGCUGCUAAUCUGAUGGCGACCGGCGCACGGGUGCGUAACACGUAUCCAAUCUACCCAUGGCUCGGGGAUAGCCUUUCGAAAGAAAGAUUAAUACCCGAUGGUCUGCGAUUGAGACAUCUCGAUUGCAGUAAAGACUUGUCGGCGAUGGAUGGGGAUGCGUCCGAUUAGCUAGUUGGCGGGGUAACGGCCCACCAAGGCGACGAUCGGUAGGGGUUCUGAGAGGAAGGUCCCCCCACACUGGAACUGAGACACGGUCCAGACUCCUACGGGAGGCAGCAGUGAGGAAUAUUGGUCAAUGGGCGAUGGCCUGAACCAGCCAAGUAGCGUGAGGGACGACGGCCCUACGGGUUGUAAACCUCUUUUGUAUGGGAAUAAAGUGAGGCACGUGUGCCUUUUUGUAUGUACCUUACGAAUAAGCAUCGGCUAAUUCCGUGCCAGCCGCCGC
rnacentral:rRNA from 1 species